CCUACGGGGGGCAGCAGUGGGGGAUAUUGCACAAUGGGGGAAACCCUGAUGCAGCGACGCCGCGUGGGUGAAGAAGCGCCUCGGCGCGUAAAGCCCUGUCAGCAGGGAAGAAAAUGACGGUACCUGAAGAAGAAGCCCCGGCUAACUACGUGCCAGCAGCCGCGGGAUUACGUAGGGGGCAAGCGUUAUCCGGAUGUACUGGGUGUAAAGGGGGCGCAGACGGGGAUGCAAGCCAGGAGUGAAAGCCCGGGGCCCAACCCCGGGACUGCGCUUGGAACUGCGUGGCUAGAGUGCAGGAGAGGCAGGCGGAAUUCCUGGUGUAGCGGUGAAAUGCGUAGAUAUAAGGAGGAACACCAGUGGCGAAGGCGGCCUGCUGGACUGCAACUGACGUUGAGGCCCGAAAGCGUGGGGAGCAAACAGGAUUAGAUACCCUGGUAGUC
rnacentral:rRNA from 1 species